AUCCCAUUGGCUGGAGAUUUAUUGCCUUUCCCUCUAACUCAUCUUGCACUUGCUGUUCCUUGUGUUAUAACAUAUACCAUAGAUGUGUUUUUUUGGAUUUGCGAUGGAGAGCCAUGAUGUCCAACAUUCUAGCUACUGAGCCACCUAUCUCCAUGAAAAAAAAAAUUACCCUGGAAGGCAAGACAAGAGAGCAAUGGGGAGAUCAAAACUAAAAGCUGCAGAAAGAAAGGCUGAUCAAAAUCAAGAAUAGCAAUCUUCUGAUUAGGAAGGACAGUAGAAAUGGUUAAUAGGACUACAACCC